rnacentral:rRNA from 1 species
UGGGGAAUAUUGGACAAUGGGGGCAACCCUGAUCCAGCCAUGCCGCGUGUGUGAAGAAGGCCUUUUGGUUGUAAAGCACUUUAAGCAGGGAGGAGAGGCUAAUGGUUAAUACCCAUUAGAUUAGACGUUACCUGCAGAAUAAGCACCGGCUAACUCUGUGCCAGCAGCCGCGGUAAUACAGAGGGUGCGAGCGUUAAUCGGAAUUACUGGGCGUAAAGCGAGUGUAGGUGGCUCAUUAAGUCACAUGUGAAAUCCCCGGGCUUAACCUGGGAACUGCUGUGUAUACUGGUGGUGCUAGAAUACGUGAGAGGGAAGUAGAAUUCCAGGUGUAGCGGUGAAAUGCGUAGGGAUCUGGAGGAAUACCGAUGGCGAAGGCAGCUUCCUGGCAUAAUAUUGACACUGAGAUUCGAAAGCGUGGGUAGCAAACAGGAUUAGAUACCCUGGUAGUCCACGCCGUAAAACGAUGUCUACUAGCCGUUGGGGUCCUUGAGACUUUAGUGGCGCAGUUAACGCGGUAAGUAGACCGCCUGGGGAGUACGGCCGCAAGGUUAAAAACUCAAAAUGAAUUGACGGGGUCAUAGCUGUUUCCU